rnacentral:rRNA from 1 species
CCCUACGGGUGGCAGCAGUGAGGAAUAUUGGUCAAUGGACGAGAGUCUGAACCAGCCAAGUAGCGUGAAGGAUGACUGCCCUAUGGGUUGUAAACUUCUUUUAUAAAGGAAUAAAACGAGGCACGUGUGCCUUUUUGCAUGUACUUUAUGAAUAAGGAUCGGCUAACUCCGUGCCAGCAGCCGCGGUAAUACGGAGGAUCCGAGCGUUAUCCGGAUUUAUUGGGUUUAAAGGGAGCGUAGAUGGGUUGUUAAGUCAGUUGUGAAAGUUUGCGGCUCAACCGUAAAAUUGCAAUUGAUACUGGCAGUCUUGAGUACAGUUGAGGUAGGCGGAAUUCGUGGUGUAGCGGUGAAAUGCUUAGAUAUCACGAAGAACCCCGAUUGCGAAGGCAGCUUACUAAACUGUGACUGACAUUGAUGCUCGAAAGUGUGGGCAUCAAACAGGAUUAGAUACCCCAGUAGUC